rnacentral:rRNA from 1 species
UACGUAGGGUGCAAGCGUUAAUCGGAAUUACUGGGCGUAAAGCGUGCGCAGGCGGUGGUGCAAGACAGAUGUGAAAUCCCCGGGCUCAACCUGGGAACUGCAUUUGUGACUGCAUCGCUGGAGUGCGGAAGAGGGGGAUGGAAUUCCGCGUGUAGCAGUGAAAUGCGUAGAUAUGCGGAGGAACACCGAUGGCGAAGGCAAUCCCCUGGGCCUGCACUGACGCUCACGCACGAAAGCGUGGGGAGCAAACAGG